rnacentral:lncRNA from 1 species
CUGCAGCCUUCCCCGUGACACUCUCCUUGGGCCAGGGCCCCAGCAGAGGCACCCAGCUCCUCACCUGACAGCAGACCCGGCCACCCUCAGUGCCCUGAGAUGGGCCUGAUAAAGCCAAAGCCCAAAGCUGGUCGGCUACAGGGAGUGCAGAAUCAGGACUGGAGCACAUCCAGGGGGUGACCGCCUGCCCAGUGUAGACUUGGGCCGGGCGUCAGGUGAGGUGGGGGGCAGGCCAGGCUUGGGCUUACCUGUUGGUGUGUGUGCAGAUGAGCACCUUGGUUUCAGGCCUCCGGAUGACCUCCAGGGAGGCCAUGGCCAGCGUGUAGGUCUUGCCGGUGCCAAAGGGGCCAUAGAUGAGUAGCGGGGGGACACGCCUCCCAUCCCCAGGGCCCCAGCCCGCAAUGAGCGCCAUGGCCAGCUCCUGCUUGCGGUUGCCACGCCGCAAGGGUGGGACAGACCAAGGUCUGGGCAGGGCGCAGGUGGGCAAGUCAGGCACCACCAGCUGCUCCUCAGGCAGUGUGUCCACUGCCUGGUGCCAGAGGCGGAAGGUCAUCGGGUCAAUCUGGAACUGCACCUCCAGGACCAGGCGGGCCUCAGGCUGCAGCCCCAGGGCCAAGCAGCAGCGGGCCGGAAGCAGCAGCCACAGCGCCUGCUCCGAGCUGGCCCGCCUCUCCAGCCGCACCUCGAACACCGUAUUGUCGGGUGCGGGUACAGGGGCCACCAGGGCCGUGCUGACCGCCCGGCCCAGCAGGAAGCCCUGGUCUGUGUCUGGCAUCAGGGAGGAGGGGACGGGGACCUCUGCGUACAGCGCUCCCGGAGGCGCGAAGAGCAUGUUCAGCGCUGGCGUCUGCAAUGCCGUCUUCAGGAACACCUGGCCCCGCAGGGUCAGCCUGGCAGGAUGGCCUGGGUCAGCUCAUGGGGCCACAGCUGCCAGCCCCGCUGCCAAGUCCACGCCCCCAUCCGCUCUGGCGGUUGCCAGUGUGCCAGCGCUCCAUCUCCUCAGGGUGGCCGAGCGCCAGAUUCCUGCAGGGUCCUGGGCGACGCCCCUGGCCCAGCUGCAGCCCCAGCUUUUGUAGCAGCACCGGCCGGCGGCCAAAGUCGAAGACCACCCAUUGCUCAAAGGUGCCGAACGAGGCGGCCUGCACACGCACUCCCACCUGGAAGUCGGCAGCGGAGCUGGGCAUACGGAAGCGCUCACCCCGUGCGUAGAGCCGGCCUGGCGGGAGGCCAGGAGCCACCAGAGAGAAGUCGGCUCCUGGCUCCUGCUUCAGCAGGGCCACAUGUAGCAGGGGCUCCUGGAGAGGAGGCCAGACGGUGAGGGGGGCCCAGGGCUCCCCCCAACCCUCCCGAGAGGCAGCCUGGCCAGCGUAGCCCAAGUGCAGGGUUCAGGUCCCAGCCCUGCCACUUCCUGGAUAGAACGCAAGCAGGCCACCCGGCCUCUGCCAUCCUGAGUUUCUUCCUGUGCUA